GUGGGUGUGCCGGAGUGGUUAUUGGGCAUGGCUAGAGAUCAUGUGGGCUUUGCUUGUGCAGGUUUGAAUCCUGUCGCAUACA
rnacentral:tRNA from 1 species